rnacentral:rRNA from 1 species
GGGAUAGAAUUCCAGGAGUAGCGGUGAAAUGCGUAGAUAUCUGGAGGAAUACCAAAGGCGAAGGCAGUCCCCUGGUCCGAUACUGACACUGAGGUACGAAAGCGUGGGGAGCAAACAGGAUUAGAUACCCUGGUAGUCCACGCCCUAAACGAUGUCGAUUAGCCAUUGGAAGGACCCCUUUUCCUUUCAGUGACGUAGCUAACGCGUUAAAUCGACCGCCUGGGAAGUACGACCGCAAGGUUAAAACUCAAAGGAAUUGACGGGGACCUGAACAAGCGGUGAAUGAUGUGGAUUAAUUCGAUGCUACGCGAAGAACCUUACCUACCUUUGACAUGGCCAAAGUUCUACCGAGAGGCGGAAGUACUCGUAAGAGGAUUGGCGCACAGGUGCUGCAUGGUUGUCGUCAGUUCGUGUCGUGAGAUGUUGGGUUCAGUCCCGCUACGAACGCAACCCUUAUCUUUAAUUGCUCCUAUUUUAACAGGCACUUUAAAGAAACUGCCAAUGAUAAGUUGGAGGAAGGUGGGGAUCACGUCAAGUCCGCAUGGCCUUUAUAGGUAGGGCUUCACACGUCAUACAAUGGUUAGAACAAAGAGCUGCAAAUUCGUAAGAAGGAGCCAAUCUCACAAACCUAACCUCAGUUCGAAUUGCGGUCUGCAACUCGAGCGCAUGAAGCCGGAAUCGCUAGUAAUCGUGGAUCAGAAUGCCACGGUGAAUACGUUCUUAGGUCUU